ACAGCAGCAGCCGCGGGAAUACAGAGGGUGCAAGCGUUAAUCGGAAUUACUGGGCGUAAAGCGUGCGUAGGCGGCUUUUUAAGUCGGAUGUGAAAUCCCUGAGCUUAACUUAGGAAUUGCAUUCGAUACUGGGAAGCUAGAGUAUGGGAGAGGAUGGUAGAAUUCCAGGUGUAGCGGUGAAAUGCGUAGAGAUCUGGAGGAAUACCGAUGGCGAAGGCAGCCAUCUGGCCUAAUACUGACGCUGAGGUACGAAAGCAUGGGGAGCAAACAGGAUUAGAUACCCCGGUAGUCCCUGUCUCUUAUAC
rnacentral:rRNA from 1 species